UACGUAGGGUGCGAGCGUUGUCCGGAAUUAUUGGGCGUAAAGAGCUCGUAGGCGGUCUGUCGCGUCGAAUGUGAAAACCCGGGGCUCAACUCCGGGCUUGCAUUCGAUACGGGCAGGCUAGAGUUCGGUAGGGGAGUCUGGAAUUCCUGGUGUAGCGGUGAAAUGCGCAGAUAUCAGGAGGAACACCAGUGGCGAAGGCGAGUCUCUGGGCAGUAACUGACGCUGAGGAGCGAAAGCGUGGGGAGCAAACAGG
rnacentral:rRNA from 1 species